CGAAAGCCUGACGGAGCAACGCCGCGUGAGGGAUGGAGGCCUUUGGGCUGUAAACCUCUUUUCUCAAGGAAGAAGAUCUGACGGUACUUGAGGAAUAAGCCACGGCUAAUUCCGUGCCAGCAGCCGCGGUAAUACGGGAGUGGCAAGCGUUAUCCGGAAUUAUUGGGCGUAAAGCGUCCGCAGGCGGCCGUUUAAGUCUGUUGUUAAAUCGUGGAGCUCAACUCCAUCACGGCAAUGGAAACUGUUCGGCUUGAGUAUGGUAGGGGCAGAGGGAAUUUCCGGUGUAGUGGUGAAAUGCGUAGAUAUCGGGAAGAACACCAGUGGCGAAAGCGCUCUGCUGGGCCAUUACUGACGCUCAUGGACGAAAGCCAGGGGAGCGAAAGGGAUUAGAUACCCCUGUAGUCCUGGCCGUAAACGAUGAACACUAGAUGUUGGGGGAAUCGACCCCCUCGGUGUCGUAGCUAACGCGUUAAGUGUUCCGCCUGGGGAGUACGCACGCAAGUGUAAAACUCAAAGGAAUUGACGGGGGCCCGCACAAGCGGUGGAGUAUGUGGUUUAAUUCGAUGCAACGCGAAGAACCUUACCAAGGCUUGACAUCCUGCGAAUCUCUAAGAAAUUAGAGAGUGCCUUCGGGAACGCAGUGACAGGUGGUGCAUGGCUGUCGUCAGCUCGUGUCGUGAGAUGUUGGGUUAAGUCCCGCAACGAGCGCAACCCACGUUUUUAGUUGCCAGCAUUCAGUUGGGCACUCUAGAAAGACUGCCGGUGACAAACCGGAGGAAGGUGUGGACGACGUCAAGUCAUCAUGCCCCUUACGCCUUGGGCUACACACGUACUACAAUGCUGCGGACAAAGAGUAGCGAUCUUGCGAAAGUUAGCUAAUCUCAUAAACCGUGGCUCAGUUCAGAUCGUAGGCUGCAACUCGCCUACGUGAAGGAGGAAUCGCUAGUAAUCGCAGGUCAGCAUACUGCGGUGAAUACGUUCCCGGGCCUUGUACACACCGCCCGUCACACCAUGGAAGUUGGCCAUGCCCGAAGUCGUUACUCUAACCUUUUGGAAGAGGGCGCCGAAGGCAGGGCUAAUGACUGGGGUGAAGUCGUAACAAGGUAGCCGUAGCGGAAGCUGCGGCUGGAUCACCUCCUAA
rnacentral:rRNA from 1 species